rnacentral:rRNA from 1 species
GACGAACGCUGGCGGCGUGCCUAACACAUGCAAGUGGAGCGACGAACCAGGCUUCGGCCUGGGGCAAAGCCGCGAACGGGUGAGUAACACGUGGGUAACCUGCCCUGAUGAUUGGGACAACCCGAGGAAACUCGGGCUAAUACCGAAUGUGCCCUCCGGCCUCAAGGCCGCUGGGGAAAGAGCUUCGGCCUCCGCAUCGGGAUGGGCCCGNGGCCCAUUAGCUUGUUGGUGAGGUAACGGCCCACCAAGGCGACGAUGGGUAGCUGGUCUGAGAGGACGAUCAGCCACACUGGGACUGAGACACGGCCCAGACUCCUACGGGAGGCAGCAGU